AAACUGUAGUCACUAUAGUGUUCCAAAUCCAGAUCCUGGUUAUGUUGACGUCGAAAAGAAGGAAAGCUCAAUCGGCGGAUGGAAUUUGGUAGAGCACCCUCUGCUCUUCAAUAUGCAGGAGCGAAUUUGACAUGCAUAUAUAUACACACAAAGUAUUGGGAGACGGUGGCAUAAGUACUAUAUAUAUAUACACACACAAAGAAUUUGAUUUAUGCGUACACAUGUUUGCAUCUCUUUUGGUGAAUUGUAAAUUAUGUAAGACGGUAUAACUGUGAUGUCGAGUAUCAAUGUGUUGCUGCUUAUGUUCGGAUAUGCAUAUACAGAAUACGUUUCAAUCUUUCCUCCU